rnacentral:rRNA from 1 species
CGGGAACCCGUAUUCUUGGGCAUGCAGGUUUCUCGGGAGGGAAAAACGGGGCACUCGAGUGGCGAACGGGUGAGUAACACUUGUUUGAUCUGCCCUGCACUUUGGGAUAAGCCUGGGAAACUGGGUCUAAUACCGAAUAUGACCGCGCUCUUCAUGGGGUGUGGUGGAAAGCUUUUGCGGUGUGGGAUGGGCCCGCGGCCUAUCAGCUUGUUGGUGGGGUAAUGGCCUACCAAGGCGACGACGGGUAGCCGGCCUGAGAGGGUGACCGGCCACACUGGGACUGAGAUACGGCCCAGACUCCUACGGGAGGCAGCAGUGGGGAAUAUUGCACAAUGGGCGCAAGCCUGAUGCAGCGACGCCGCGUGAGGGAUGACGGCCUUCGGGUUGUAAACCUCUUUCAAUAGGGACGAAGCGCAAGUGACGGUACCUAUAGAAGAAGCACCGGCCAACUACGUGCCAGCAGCCGCGGUAAUACGUAGGGUGCGAGCGUUGUCCGGAAUUACUGGGCGUAAAGAGCUCGUAGGUGGUUUGUCGCGUUGUUCGUGAAAACUCACAACUCAAUUGUGGGCGUGCGGGCGAUACGGGCAGACUAGAGUACUGCAGGGGAGACUGGAAUUCCUGGUGUAGCGGUGGAAUGCGCAGAUAUCAGGAGGAACACCGGUGGCGAAGGCGGGUCUCUGGGCAGUAACUGACGCUGAGGAGCGAAAGCGUGGGGAGCGAACAGGAUUAGAUACCCUGGUAGUCCACGCCGUAAACGGUGGGUACUAGGUGUGGGUUCCUUCCUUGGGAUCCGUGCCGUAGCUAACGCAUUAAGUACCCCGGCCUGGGGGAGUACGGCC